rnacentral:lncRNA from 1 species
AUCACCAUUUGGGACAGAUUACAGGCACCUUCUGAAAGUGAAAUUUAUACACACUCUCUUACUAGUAUACAAGCAUCUUCAGUGAGAACCUCAACAUGUGGCUGAUUUUUCUUCCCAACACAGACAUCUGAGGACAAAGCACUGGGCAAUGGAGACCACACAGGUCUCUUCCAGAGAAGCCUGACUGUUCAUGGUGUUCUAUAAAU